GCGAGGCGAACGGGUCGUAGCUCCGCUGGCCCAACUUCACGUCCAUGAUGCACGGUUUGACGAAGCGCCGCGUCACAUCCUCCAGUUUCAGGGACGUAAAGAUUCAUCGUAAAAAUCGGGAUAAAUCGGAGGUGUGGAAGCAUUUUGGCUUCCCCAAGACAGAAAAUGAAAGAGUGCUACAUCUCCUUAAAGAACACAAGUGGUAAGCGCUGUUACCUCACAGCGGGGAGGUUCCUGGUUGGAAUCCCUGUCGGACAGGGACGGGCGGACCUGUCUGUGUGCAGUUUGCAUGUUCUGCCUCUGCAUGUGUGGGUCCUUUUCUGGUACUCCAACUUCCUCCCACAGUCCACUCUAAAAUAUGAGUGAGGCUGGUUGUCUGUCUCUACAUGUCAGCCAUGUGAUUGACU